CUUGUUUUUAACCCUAGGUAGUGUCCAAUGAGCUUGUUUUUAACCCUAGGUAGUGUCCAGAUGAGCUUGUUUUUAACCCUAGGUAGUGUCCAGUUGAGCUGUAGUGUGUGCGGUACUCUGUGUUUUGUACCAGUUGAGAACUUCGGUCUAAUUCCCUGAGAUCUGGUUCUUCUCUGGAAAAAUCAUUAUUUAAGUAUUCUUGUGGUUUUACUGCCAGGGCCCUGCCAGGGUUUUACUGCCAGGGCCUGCUCUAGACGUUCCAGACUCUACUGUAGGUCAUGUGCUGUGGGUGACAGCAGGCAUAGGUCAUCUGAGAAUAGCAGGCAUAUAACCUCUGAAUUGUGGAGACUAACACAAGGGGCUGAAGAUUUUUCUAGAAUAGUGGCCCAUUCUUUGAUGUAAAUAUUGUAGAGUGCAGGACUCAGAUUGCAACCCUGACGAAGGCCCCGCCUCUGGUUAAAGAAUUCUGUUCUUUUCUUACCAAUUUUGAUGCUGCACAUAUUGCCAGUGAUUUAAUGAUGUCAUAUGUUUUCUCUCUCCUCUCCUCUCCUCUCCUCUCCUCUCCUCUC
ensembl:lncRNA